CUCCCGGACGGGAGGGGGAGAAUCAACCUUGCUGGUUCUCAUCAGAAAGAAAAACCAUUGGCGCCUGGCGGGGCUCCCGGGUACAGAGAAUAGGAGAGAGAGAGAGAGGGGCAGUGGAGGAAGGAGUUUGAAGGUUGCAGGUCUAGCGCUCGAGAGAGAGAGAUGAGAUCAGGUCUCGGGAAGUCUGACCCGAGGUUGGAGGUGUCGGUACCUUUACUAGGGUGGUAAAGGAGAAGCCUAGAAUAACGGGGAGAGGGGCCACUCCCGCUCCAGAACUCCGCGGCGGCGGGAGCUACCGGGAGAGGAAAGCGGGGCGGGGAUCGGAUCUGCCCCUCCCCGGCCCACCUGCGUCUCGGACAGGCUGAGGGCCGUGGCCAGCUCCACCCGCUCUGGCGUGGACAGGUAGCGCUGGAUCUCGAAUCUCUUCUCCAGGCCGGAAAGCUGCGAGUCCGAGAAAACCGUGCGAGCUUUGCGGCGGCGGCAGUGCUUCCCCGGCAGCUCGCUGUGCUGGGGAUGCGGGAACAGCGCCGGCACCGGCACCCCUGCAAGAGACGAAAGCAACCGAGUGGGUCGAGCCCUGACACCCGGGAGCCGCCGCCGCCGCGCUCCCCUGGUCCCCAGCGCCUCCCGCCGCCUCGUGCGUGCCUCCGCUGGUCCCCUCGCCGCCCCAGACCUUCUCCAGCCCUUCUCCCAGGAACCUCAGGGCAGGGGAAAGAACACAUCACAAGAAUAGAGCUGGAAGGUCUUUAUCGGGAAGGCCGUCUAGACACGCAAACAAUCAACGGUGAAGUAAAACGGGAAAGAAAUUGUUUUUAAUCGGGGCCUUAAAAAAUGUCUCUUGAAAGACUUCCAUAACGCCUGCCAGCUCCCAGUCCUCUGUGGCGCCUCCCGAAGUUUUCUUGCGAUCGCCCGCUGGUCCAGUAGCUGUUCUGACCACCCGCCGCCCUUCUACACCCCUGACGACAUUCAGCAUUGCUCUUGGGCUACUAGAGGCGCGACUGUGGCCUCGCCUCCCCACCUCACUAAAAAAAAACACCUUUCUCUUUCCCGAGCUGCCCCCAUUCUCCCGCCUGCGGCCAAGGAAACAGAUAAAAACUCAUCGGGAGAAGCUCAAGGGCCAGAAGGGAGGGGCAGUGCCCGCCUUGCACGUUCCGGAAGGAGGAGGCCCGCUGGGGACCCAGACCUGUAAUCCGGCCCUCAUUCUUUUUCUCGGACCCUAGGCAGAAGGACUGAAGUGCUUUCCCCACGCCCUCCACGUCUGGGGAGACUUAUCUUGUCUUUCCUGACCUUCACAGGCAUUACAGGGUCUGAGAUGCCCCCAAGUAAACCGCCACAGACAUCCGUUUCUGCCAAUCCCAGGGAAAAACCAAAAACAAAACAAGCAGUUCUGUCAUCACGGGCUUUGGCCACUGCUGUUUGGGGGGAACCCAGAAGAGACUGUCAUUGGCCAGGCAGUGAAGACAAUACCAAAAUGCAGGCUUCCACAUAGCUUUUGUAAUUGCCCUUCCCACCUCGUGCCUCAGAAUCGGGGUUUUACCGCGUCACAAAAACUUCUAGCUCUCGCCGUAGAUCCCAGAGCCCACAUUUCGCAAACUGCCUCAUGUGUUUCCACGGCUCUCCCCCAGACCAGGGUUGUUUUUUCGGCCGUGCUCUGCACCUGCGUGCAGUGAACUAUUAUGUUUUAACUGGAAUGAAAAUGCCAGAGAAGAAAGCGUGAAUGUGGCCUUUCAGAGAGCAGG